GAUGAAGAACGUAGCGAAAUGCGAUAAGUAAUGUGAAUUGCAGAAUUCAGUGAAUCAUCGAAUCUUUGAACGCACAUUGCGCCCCUUGGUAUUCCGAGGGGCAUGCCUGUUCGAGCGUCAUUAUAACCCCUCAAGCUCAGCUUGGUGUUGGGGCCUGCUGCACUGGCAGCCCUUAAAAUCAGUGGCGGCGCCAUCUGGCUCUAAGCGUAGUAAUUCUUCUCGCUAUGGAGUCCUGGGGGAUGCUUGCCAUCAACCCCCAAUUUUUCUAUGGUUGACCUCGGAUCAGGUAGGGAUACCCGCUGAACUUAAGCAUAUCAUAAGCGGAGGA
rnacentral:misc_RNA from 1 species